GACAGAGGUGCCAAGCGUUAGGCGGAAUCACUGGGCUUAAAGCGUGUGUAGGUGGACUGGUAAGUACCUUGUGAAAUCCCACGGCUCAACCGUGGAACUGCUUGGUAUACUGCUGGUCUUGAGCAACCUAGGGGCGAGCGGAACAAAUGGUGGAGCGGUGAAAUGCGUAGAUAUCAUUUGGAACGCCAAUGGUGAAAACAGCUCGCUGGGGGUUUGCUGACACUGAGACACGAAAGCUAGGGGAGCAAACGGG
rnacentral:rRNA from 1 species